rfam:Klebsiella sp. RIT-PI-d NODE_1_length_2264346_cov_38.3847_ID_1, whole genome shotgun sequence.
GCAUCUGCAAAAUCAGGUGCCGGGAUUGGAACCCUGAGAAAUGUUACAGGCGACAUACGACGCGUCCCGCGUCUUUUUU